CGUGCUUAACACAUGCAAGUCGGAUGCGAACGGCGCUUUCGGGCGUUGAGUAGCAUGGCAGACGGGUGAGGAGCGCGUAUCUGACUGGACUCAGGCUGGGGGAUAGUCCCUCGAAAGGGGGUUGAAUACCGCAUGUGCUCGGUGCUGUGAGGGCAUCGAGGAAAGUUGGCCUCUGCGGGCACGCUGAUGGCCUGAGACAGGGAUGCGUCCUAUUAGCUAGCUGGUGGGGUAAGGGCCUACCAGGGCGACGAUGGGUAGCUGGUCUGAGAGGAUGAUCAGCCACACUGGGACUGCGACACGGCCCAGACUCCUACGGGAGGCAGCAGUGGGGAAUUUUGCGCAAUGGGCGCAAGCCUGACGCAGCAACGCCGCGUGCAUGACGACGCCUUUCGAGGUGUAAAGUGCUGUCGACCGGGACGAAGGGGCGAGGGUGAACAGCUUUCGCGCAUGACGGUACCGGUGGAGGAAGCCCCGGCUAACUCCGUGCCAGCAGCCGCGGUAAGACGGAGGGGGCGAGCGUUGUUCGGAAUUACU
rnacentral:rRNA from 1 species